GGGGUGCUCGAGUGGCGAACGGGUGAGUAACACGUGAGUAACCUGCCCUUGACUUUGGGAUAACUUCAGGAAACUGGGGCUAAUACCGGAUAGGAGCUCCUGCUGCAUGGUGGGGGUUGGAAAGUUUCGGCGGUUGGGGAUGGACUCGCGGCUUAUCAGCUUGUUGGUGGGGUAGUGGCUUACCAAGGCUUUGACGGGUAGCCGGCCUGAGAGGGUGACCGGCCACAUUGGGACUGAGAUACGGCCCAGACUCCUACGGGAGGCAGCAGUGGGGAAUAUUGCACAAUGGGCGGAAGCCUGAUGCAGCAACGCCGCGUGCGGGAUGACGGCCUUCGGGUUGUAAACCGCUUUCGCCUGUGACGAAGCGUGAGUGACGGUAAUGGGUAAAGAAGCACCGGCUA
rnacentral:rRNA from 1 species